rnacentral:piRNA from 7 species
GGGGAUGUAGCUCAGUGGUAGAGCGC